GCUGGUGUUACAUGUACCAGGUGUUGAUGUCAGCUGGUGUUACAUAUACCAGGUGAUGUCAGCUGGUGUUACAUAUACCAGGUGUUGUCAGCUGGUGUUACAUAUACCAGGUGUUGAUGUCAGCUGGUGUUACAUAUACCAGGUAUUGUCAGAUAGUGUUACAUAUACCAGGUGUUGUCAGAUAGUGUUACAUAUACCAGGUGAUGUCAGCUGGUGUUACAUAUACCAGGUGUUGUCAGCUGAUGUUACAUAUACCAGGUGUUGAUGUCAGCUGGUGUUACAUAUACCAGGUAUCAGUGUCAACUGGUGUACUAAUGUAAACUGGCGUUAUACCAGGAAUUAAUGUAAACUGGUGUUAUAUCAGGUAUUGUCAACUGGUGUUAUACCAGGUAUUUCUGUCAGCUGGUGUUAUUUAGACAAGGUAUUGAUGUCACCUGUUACAUGAACCAGGUUUUGAUGUAACCUUGUGUUAUAUAAACCGUUUGAUGCCACCUGGUAUUAUAUAAACCCGGUGUUGAGGUCGUCAGGGGUAAGAUAAACCAGAUAUUGGUGUCACCUGGUAUAUAAAUCCGGUGUUGUCACCUGGUGUUAUAUAAACCCGGUGUUUAUGUCAACUGAUGUUAAAUAAACCAGAUGAUGUCACUGCCCCACAGUACAUGUUUAAUCAUCAGGAUCGUAGAUAUAUUAUGAACUAACAAUAAACCUGAGUUUUGGCACAUUAUAAUAAUAAUUGGCACCUUUUAUCUAUCAAGAAACUACUACUGUGGUCUUUUUUCUAUCAACAAACUACUACUGUGGUCUUUUAUCUAUCAAGGAACUACUAUUGUGGUCUUUGACUUUGUUAUUUAUUUAAUCAAGUUUUAGUCUGUUUCAAAUAAAGAUUAUUUACUAUACAAGAAA